GAAUGUGUUUAUGGAACACCUUUUUCUCUUGGCUUUAUUCUAUAGUUUGUAAGAUAUUUGUUGUUUUUUUCUUCAAUUUCUGCAAUUUCAACCAAUCAAUGACGUCUAUAUUGAGGUUAAAACAGGAUCUUUUCCUUUUGAACGGCACUUUGUAACAUAAUUUCUAGGUAACUAAACACUUUUAAACUUUGUAUACUGGUAGAAUGUGUUUAUAAAACAUCUUUUUCUCUUGGCUUUAUUGAGAAAAUUCUGUUGUUUGUAAGAUAUUUGUUGUUUUUCUCUUCAAUUUCUGCAAUUUCAACCAAUCAAUGACGUCUAUAUUGAGGUUAAAACAGGAUCUUUUCCUUUUGAACGGCAGUUUUUUAAAAUAAUUUCCACGUAACUAAAAAAUUUUAAACUUCGUAUACUGGUAGAAUGUGUUUAUAAAACAUCUUUUUCUCUUGGCUUUAUUGAGAAAAUUCUAUAGUUUAUAAGAUAUUUGUUGUUUUUUUUCUCUUCAAUUUCUGCAAUUUCAACCAAUCAAUGACGUCUAUUGAGGUGAAAACAGGAUCUUUUCCUUUUGAACGGCACUUUGUAACAUAAUUUCUAGGUAACUAAACACUUUUAAAC
rnacentral:lncRNA from 1 species